rnacentral:rRNA from 1 species
GAUGAACGCUGGCGGCGUGCCUAAUACAUGCAAGUCGAGCGAACAGAUAAGGAGCUUGCUCCUUUGAAGUUAGCGGCGGACGGGUGAGUAACACGUGGGUAACCUACCUAUAAGACUGGGAUAACUUCGGGAAACCGGAGCUAAUACCGGAUAACAUUUAGAACCGCAUGGUUCUAAAGUGAAAGAUGGUUUUGCUAUCACUUAUAGAUGGACCCGCGCCGUAUUAGCUAGUUGGUAAGGUAACGGCUUACCAAGGCGACGAUACGUAGCCGACCUGAGAGGGUGAUCGGCUACACUGGAACUGAGACACGGUCCAGACUCCUACGGGAGGCAGCAGUAGGGAAUCUUCCGCAAUGGGCGAAAGCCUGACGGAGCAACGCCGCGUGAGUGAUGAAGGGUUUCGGCUCGUAAAACUCUGUUAUUAGGGAAGAACAAAUGUGUAAGUAACUGUGCACAUCUUGACGGUACCUAAUCAGAAAGCCACGGCUAACUACGUG